UCAAUUAUAUGUGGCAGAACCUCCCAAGUUAUUGGACCCACAUGCACCUGCCCUUGUCUCAAAGACCUCAGACGACUAUGCAUGUGCACCAGAUAACUUAACAGGAUCUGUCCGAGUGCCCCAAGGACCUCGGAUAAAUCACUUACAACCAGAACCACGGGAUUAAGUAAACACAAAUCACACACCAACAAUUUGCAGCGGAAAUCUUAUAACCAAAUUUUACAAGUUACAUGAAGUUUACAAUGUACAUGAUCGGAGUGAUUAAAAAAUUUGGUUCAAAGCAUAAACUUUGAAAUGUUAUAAAUUAUUUGUAGUUUUGAAAUAUAUGCUAGCUCAAGUGACCAUCCUCAAUAAGAAGUAUAGAAGAGGUACUUAGACUUAUAAGAAGGUCGAGCCCACCGGCACUUAGCACCAUCCACAACAACACACUUCUAUUUCGGUUCUUCCUCCUACUAGGGAACCACCUUUGCACAAAAGUAGCAAAGCUCUGCAGGCUCUUCACCUAAAACAACAUGGGACAAAGCCCUGAGUACGAAGUGUACUUUUGCAAGUCUUACCCGACUAAGGAAAAAGACUCUCAAGAUAUGCGGGAUUUAGGAAUCAAGGAGAGGCUUUUAGCAAGAAUCAACUUAGAUACUUUUUGCAGAAAUAGCUUACUAAAGUGAGUCCUUACUUUCAAUAUUUUAACGCCAGAUUAAAUAUUAAUAGAAUCUGGUUGCACCUAGUCUAAUUUCACCAUCUCAUCAAUACAACAUCAUUUUUAUGCAUAAUGUUUACAUCCUGACCAUGGUUGCAGGUCAGUGAUCAAGUAUCCACUAUCCGGGGAUAUAACGGCGAUCCAAAUCGAUUUACUCAGCUGAGGAUCUCUAACCACACGACAUAUGUAGCACUUAACCCUUGUAUAUGUCAUCCGUUCCCACAGAUCCUCCACAACGUGAACCAGUCCGCGCUACCCGGGAGCACAAUACUCCUCUAUCCAUCUAGCCAGGAGGGUACACACUACUCCCACCAUCUCCCACGCCCAGUGCACGGUUGUAUUUUCACGUAUGGAAUAGCCGGGUUCAAGCUUAUCCUGUCCCAUAUCUAGGGCAUGUGGCCAUUUAAGAUAGUUCUUGAUCAUACAAGCCUACAUACACAUCCAAUCCUUAAUUAACCUGGGUGGAGCAUCACCUGUUCCUAGCCCAAGUCUCGAGUUAAGUACUUCCACCCUUAGGAUUGUUUUGUGUUCCUAAGGAUGAAAAGAGCAUUAUAGGGAACUUUGCAGUAAGAUCCCACCAUGCUCCCAAUGAAAAUAUUCUUGCAGGUAGAAGUCAUGCUUCCUCAGGAUAAACCUGAGCUAGGCAUAAGUGCAAAGGACAAACUCUAUCUGCUUAUAAGCAGGGCUAAGCAUUUUUUUGUAAAUCAUAUUUUGAUACUUCACCAGAAGUAUCUAUAAAAGAAAUGUAUUUCAAGGUAGCCAAUGCAUCAAAGGGUUUCCAAGCAACUCCUAUAAACCUAAUGCACAUUUAGUAGACUUAAAGUGUGUAAAAAUAAUUUAAAAACACAAGGAAGGGGUUGCAUGCAACGGGGCUUGCCUGGGAUAAACACUAGGUUAGUGUUGUUAGACGAUGUCUGCUUGACGACCAUCUUUUAUCUUGACAUUCGUCAAAUUAUCCAUCUUCAGGUUCGUCCGACUGACGACGUCGUCUUGCGGAGAUGUUCACUCUCUGCAUUAUCCUGGGGUCGUCUUCCGCAUCACGUGAUCAACAAACGUACCUAAAUGAUUUGCAUAAUGCACAUGAAUGCAUAUAAACAAGAAUAGUAUGAGACUAAAUAUUACUACAUGUUCGCGAAUUAAACACCUAGCAGCAAGGCGUUGUACUAUUUCAUACGGAAACACUAGUUAUCGACAUACGACUAAGCGCAAUAAUCACAAAAUAAUAAAAUAUACAUACUAACACUCACGUCCUUCCUACUUAACCGAAUUUAACUCAUACAUCAGGCAACAACACCCUAAGUAUAAGUUCCAUACUUUAGCCUAUACCAAACAAUUAACAAAAAUUAGGCUCACGUUUCCAAGAUAAUUAAAUUCAAGACUACAGAUAGAAAUCAUUUAUAGCUUUCUAACCCACUACGCUAAUUAGUUCAUACAGUACACUAGACAAACAACAAUAUCACAUAUGACUAGACUGACCACAUCAGAUACGAAGAACCAAUUUAAUUAUACGUUGCACAACUAAUAUGUUUAACUAAAUUCAUCCGACCAAAAGCAGAAGUAACAAAUUGGCUACUAUUACCUAAAUCUGACUUGAAACCGCGAGAUUGACAAUGAUGCCCAGUUCGAGCCUUUCAUUGCGCCACAGGUGGACAACGAAUAGGGACCUUCACGCAAACACACACACAUACAUAAAUCCACAGCUAGCCACAUCGGCGUCUGAUAAGAAAUUAAACAGAGCGAGGACUGCAAGUAUCACCAGUGGGGACGCAAGACGCGACAAGGCCGUUGGAAUAAUGACAGUUCCGAGGGUCAGGCGUUUCAUCGAACAUCUGGCGGCUGAAGCGAGGACGACAUCGAAUCCCAAGAGACGGACAGUGCGUCGACGGCCGAGUCUCACAUUUAGCCGGACAAGUGGCACACGAGGCGCGACGGGAAGGAGUUUGACGCGUCAAGUCUAAAGAAAGCGCGACAUCAACGAUGCUGCAAGCAGUGCUUGAAGUCGAAAAUGCACGACAAAGGAGACGGGGACAGCCACUGUACAACACCAUGGAACUUGGUGCGGCCAUAGCAUGGCACACAAAAAUAGCAGUGCCCGACCACCAUGGCCAACCCCGGCCAGCCUUCCCGUGCGGCCAUGGCACGACGAGAACCUAAAUGAGUGGACAAGGAUGAUGAUGACGCCACGCACGACGUUCGAUGGUAGGAUCGACAACGAUACAAGAUGGUGGCGUAAAGAGCUGCAGGGCUAGCGAGCUGAAGCAAGUGACGGAGACAGCCGCGUCCGAUAGCAAGCCCGUAGCGACGCACGACAGUGGGGAGCUCGGCACGAUGGGGAGCAGCGACCAUCGGCGUGAGGAGAGCCAGGAAAACGACACGCAUACAAAACGAUCCUGGGCGCGACGGGAAUGAUGGAAACGUGCAGCAUGGACAGAAGGAACUCGGCACCAUUGCUGGCCGAGGCGAGUGCGCUUGGACAUGGACACCGAGGCGAAGAGAGGAAAACCAAAAGGUGAUCGGGGAUGUGACGGCCGGACAUCAAGUGCUCCCCGGAUUUGGGCGAGCGAUGCUGGCUGCUUCAUUCCCCCGUUCGUCGUGCCAGAACUCCAGAUGCUCUGUGCGGGCGCGAACGCAUACCGGCCAUGAGCAGUGCAGGCAAGCACGGCCGGUGGAGAGUUGGGUCUAGAGGGAGAAGAUAAGGUGUGCGCCGUAGAAGAGACCGAUGGCACCAGAGGCCCUGGUGAUCUCCCCAUGGUGAUGCAGGGGUACAUGUACCUGAGCCCCAUCCCACCGUACACCAUGACUGAAGCUCGGAAGUCAGGGAGAGGGACGCGGCAGAGGGGGUUCAGGCGAGGUCGACGGUGCGGCUUCCAUGGUCGAGCAGGGAGGAGCGCGGCGUGCUUGAGGGAGGCGAGCUGAGGGGGGGCGGCCAUGGCAGGGAAGAGCGCCGGCACGAAGAGAUCUGAGCUGGGCGAGCACGGUAGUAAGAUGGGCGUGCGGCCAACCUGGAGAGCAGGGGCGCGACGAGUUUGGGGAUUGGGCAGAGCGCCGGUCGAGGGAGAGAGUGUUGGGAGGCCUCGGCACAGGGGCUGGGCGCCGUGGGAGCUUGGCAAGGAGGAGAAGAAAAACUGGGUGCGCUGCGCGUGGCCGGAGGAGAAGCGGCUGGGGAAGAUAAGGACGUGAACGGCUUCAGGAAAUAUCCCGGUCAGCGCGAGCAGAAAAAUCUGAGAGGGGCGGUGAGCCGGUGACAGCAGAUGGAGACGGCUGGGAUUUUUCUGAGGUGCUUGAGCGGCGCGGCCAAAAAAAUCUGAGAGAGCGAGAGCAACUGGAAAAAUUCAAGGGUAGAGAGAGAACAGCGGGAGGGAGAAAAUAUUUUCAUUUCUUUUAUUUUUGCACUCACGAGUUUAAAUACAAACGUAAAUAUUAGCGGGGGUUAAGGCUAGAAUUCGGAAAGUUAUAAGGGAAUUAAGGGCCUGUUUAGUUUGUGGCUAAAUGUGUUACACUUUGCCUAAGGUUAGUCGUUCGAAUUGAAUAACUAACCUUAGGCAGAAAAGUUAGGCAAAAUGUGGCAACUGAGGUAGUGAACCAAACAGGCCCUAAAUUAAAAUGGUUUUGGUCACCAUAUUUUAAUCGGUGUUAGAGUAAUUGAAAUCAGACAAACUUCGUCUGGUUUUCCUUGGAUUCCGAGUGUGAUCCGAUUAAAUUUUACAUUAAACUUUUGUCGUUGAGUUCAAAUAAAUUCGUUUGGAGAUAAAAUCAUCAGAGUGGGUCGGGCCUCCGAGUUCGUAUUCGCGCGAGUGAUGAUUUUAAAUAAUCACCGGACACACCGAUUUUUGGAACAACGAUGUUCCAAACAUCACGAAAGUUUAGGAUGAGCCCGGAUAGAUAAAGACGAUGCCGAACUCGCGACAGACGAAACAGAUGUGAUAUUAAAAUCGCGAUAGACAAAGAUGAUUAAAAUUUAGCAUCCGUUUUAUCCACUGAUAUUACGUGCUUAAAUCCAUACUCGUUGUCGAGCAGAAUAUAAACACCAGGGGUGUUACAACCCUCCACCUUAAAAGAAUCUCAUCCCGAGAUUCGGAGCGAAAGACUUUUAAAAGUAGAGAAGCAUGUAACCCAUGUCCAUAUUAGCGAUAACCAUAAGACAACUCCAAGCAAAGACGAGUGCCUCAGGAUGGGGUUUCUUUAGUGAACAUAAAAUAUAUCGCCUUAAGCUAAUUUUAGAGAUGUCUACCAAUGGAGACGAUGUCUGCCAGAAGAACACAUAAGGUCCCAUGUGUGCAGUUUGCUUUUUCUGAUGACACUGUACUAUCUAAGUCUGUUGAGAGAGCGGCAAAUACGCGAUUUUACCCAAACAGAAUCAGAUGCAACCUCUUGGGUAAAACAUACAGAAAGAGGUUUACCAACAAGUGGUCACUGGAAAUUCAUAGCACAUAAGACGUGUGUGAAUGUCGUAUAACAUCACAGUUAGCUCGUGUUAGCCAGAGAAUCCAAGUCCAAGAAAAAUGAUAAAGACUUGAAAAAUCACCAGCGAAGGAAUCUGUAGAUGCAGACUUUGUGUCUAAUCCAUGUUAUCAAGCACUAGGCAUGGCUCGACUUGAUCUCACAUGCUGGAAAAGCACACGUGAGGCGAUCGAGGUAUGGCUAGAACGAUAAUUAGGGGAUCAUUAGCGACUUAAUCUUGAUUCUUAUAAGUACUUCCUUUAAAGGGGUUAUACAAAAGUGAGUUUAGACAACUCGAUAAAACGAUCUCUAAACUCAACCUUUGUUCAUUGGGCAGUUACAAGUUAGUAAAACCAACUUGUUGAACUACUUUUGACAUUGAGCAGGUCCUCUCAGUACCAUCGGUAAGCCAAGGGUUGAGAGUUCACAUUUGCUAAUAGGAGAUCAUGUAUUUGGGUAGAAAUUCAUUUGGUCAGGUUGUUCUUCCGUUUCUUCAUGCGAGAUGAAUUAUCCACUUGGUUAAGGAAUAUAGGGAUUAAUAAGAGAGUGAAUGAACAAACUCCUGCAUCUUAGCAGCAGGGGAAACAAAUCUCCACUUUGAGAGCUAAUCAGUUGUCUCUCAACACUAAAAAGCUCCAAGGCUUCACCUUUACACAAAGGAUGUAAAGGGAACUUCUAUAAGUAGUCACUACCAAGAUCAAAAAAAGAGACCACACCUAAAAGUGGUAUGCCCCUUUUGAUCCAACUGAGAUGAUGGACGUUGCUUGAUCACUUGACAAACAACAUAGAAAUUGUUUCAAGGAAGAGAUCUACGGGAGAUAACACAUCAGUGUAGUUCCACAAUGGAUCAUGACCAGAGACCUUGGUACUGGCAUGCGCCAAGCAGCAAAAUCCUGUGUGCGCAUUCACAGGAGGCCCUCAGUUUUGCCGCGGUACCAUAAGUCCUUAACCAUGACACCAUUACAAAACUGGCACCAAUAAUGAAUCUCACGUGGUAAGAACAAUUCGUGCAGAGAUAACAUAUUGAUAUAAUCUCAUAAUGGAUUAUGACUACCAACUAUGAUACUAGUGUGUGCCGAGCAGCACAACCGUGUGUGCGCACACACAGAAGGCCCCCGAUUUCGUCACGGUAUCAUCAAUUUUAGUCAUAACGCCAAUACCAGACAUAACCAAUAAGAAAUCUCGCGCGGCACCAAUAGACUAGGCAAGGAUGGCAAUAUACGAAAAGACUCUACCUAUCAAAACGGUUACAAGUAGAGAGUCAAAUAGAUCAUGGCCCGAUGAAACGAACAAGGUAUGGCCAUAACUAGACUUGUUAAUGAAAGGAGUACGAUGGGAGACUGUUAAUUCAGCCCCGAGCAUAUUUCUAUGCCCAUCACAGAGAUCACAAGGUCAAGGAUCAGUAUCUGCUUAGAUACGGAGGGAAAACAAUCAUAAGAUGAAGUUGGUAUGCCUUCAACAGAUAUGGGGAACCAAAGACAUCAAAUUCAAGAAAUGAUGAGACAUGUCUUUCCUAGAUUAGGUUGAUAAAGCAACAUGGCGAUCCUUAAGAACAGACAAACUGGAUUAGAGACAUCAACUUACGCCAAUCGAAUAAGGACGUGAUCUAGGAUGGAAAUAUGACUCAAGAUUCUCAUUUUAAGCCCGAGUACACUUUAGGUUCAGCAAAGAAAUUACCUAAGCAUUUAUUUGCAUGAGUUUGGUCAUGGAGUGAUAAUGGAAAAUUCAAAUUUGGAUCAUGGUUCACCAACUAAGAACAUGGCCUAAUUUUCGGUUUAGGCAAACAAAUUACCAACCUUCUAUCGGCACAUCGGGUACCAGACCAAACACAUAUAACAUCUAAAUAUAUUACCUAAAGAACAGAGGACAGCUAUUUCAUCGAAGUUCACAAUACAACAUUACACCACAUUAUCUACAAUCACCGGUUAUUAGAAUAAAGGUGAGAGAAGCAUUUUAGGUGUAUAGGUGACAAACAUGAUGCAACAAUCAGGAUGCAUGCUCGUCUUAUUCGUCCUCACUGAUUUUGCCAACAUAAUGUGGCCAUAGUGUUCUAUAUCGGUGGCAUACGUUCUCUCUCAGUAUUUUGCUAAUCGUCAGCUACACAUACGUUUUCGAAGUUAGUGUACCUGCAGAAAAAUCCAUCACAACCCAUUUUCCAAUGAUGCAGUUCACACAUGAUAGUUUAUCAUAGUUUAUACUCCAUAUAUUGCUAUAUGGAGGCCAGCUCAUCAUUAAGCGCCGAGCCACGCAUAGGCGCCGUUGCCACACUUUAACCAUAGGGCAACUCAUUAUGGUAACUCACCUUCUUACCUGAGCGUAGGUGCGUCAUUGCGAGUACAUUACACUUCUCAGUAUUCCCAUGUUUGUAUACCCAUACACAUCCAUGGGGUACUGAAUUCCCAGAAAAUUAAAUACUCCACAUCGCAGCCUUCAUAUAUACAUAUGUGGAACAUGUAUAUAAUCAAGCACCACAAUUAAGCACUCCCAUAGACCGACGUUUGUUCGGUCAUGCUCGCACAUCUCACCUUACCUUGAGCGUCGAUUCAUUCACAAUCAAAUGGCCUCAAAAAUAAAAAUACACAUGUAUGCAAUACCCCCGGUUGUGGGUUAGUGGUUUUUAACUAAGCCACCUAAUAGUCCUUAGUUUAGGGCUUAACAGAGGAUGUCGCUAGCAUUAUAGUUUUUCAAAGCCAAACAAUGUGUUUACUUGAAAAUAGGUUUUCUAAAACCAAAACUUUGUUUUUAAAAUACGUAUGUGACCGUAUUAUACUUAAUCCUGCUCCGAUACCAGCUGUGGCAGAACCUCCCAAGUUAUUGGGCCCACAUGCACCUGCCCUUAUCUCAAAGACCUCAGACGGCUAUGCAUGUGCACCAGAUAACUUAACAGGAUCUGUCCAAGUGCCCCAAGGACCUCGGAUAAACCACUUACAACUAGAACCGCAGGAUUAAGUAAACACAAAUCACACACCAACAAUUUGCAGCGGAAAUCUUAUUACCAAAUUUUACAAGUUACAUGAAGUUUACAUUGUACAUGAUCAGAGUGAUUAAAAAAUUGGUUCAAAGCAUAAACUUUGAAAUGUUAUAAAUUAUUUGUAGUUUUGAAAUAUAUGCUAGCUCAAGUGACCAUCCUCAAUAAGAAGUAUAGAAGAGGUACUUAGACUUAUAAGAAGGCCGAGCCCACC
rnacentral:lncRNA from 1 species